AUGGCGAAGGGGACGACGGAGAUGGAGGUCGGGUCCGACGGCGUCGCCGUCAUCUACAUCGCCAACCCGCCCGUGAACGCCCUCUCCAUCGACGUCCUGUUUAGCUUGAAAGGGCACUAUGAAGAGGUGCUUCGAAGGAAUGAUGUGAAAGCUAUUGUUCUUACAGGAAGUGGAAGGUCAUUUUCUGCUGGACUCGAUAUUAGUGCCUUCGCUGAUAUUCGCAAACCGGAGCAGCUAAAGGAUCACUGCAUAUUGAUUGAAGCCAUGACUGAUAUCUUCGAAGAUGCUGGGAAGCCAUCAGUGGCUGCUAUUGAUGGCCCUGCUCUUGGUGGAGGUUUAGAAAUUUCCAUGGUAUGCCAAGCACGCAUUUCAACUCCUAAUGCUCAAUUAGGCCUCACGGAGCUUCAGUUUGGAGUAAUACCUGGAUUUGGAGGAACACAGCGCCUUCCCCGCCUUGUUGGACUGACAAAAGCACUUGAAAUGAUGAUGCUCUCGAAGCCAAUUAAAGCCGAAGAAGCCCAUGAGCUGGGUCUGGUCGACGCUGUUGUUUCACCUAACGAUUUGUUGAAUAAUGCCCGCCGUUGGGCUUUGGACAUCUAUGAGUCGAAAAGGCCAUGGGCCCGAGCCCUCUACAAAACUGACAAGCUUGAAUCCCCUGAUCUGGCCAGAGAGAUCCUCAAUUCUGCCAGAGUUCAGUCUCGGAAGUGGGCUGCCAAUCUUCAGUAUCCAUUCGUCUGUAUCGAUGCUGUCGAAGAAGGUAUAGUUUCAGGGCCACAAGCCGGGCUUCGGAAGGAAGCCAUGGCUUUUCAGGAACUCUUUUUCUCAGAUACAUGUAAAAGCUUGAUUCAUGUGUUCUUUUCACAACGUGCAACAUCAAAGCAGGUUCCUGGGAUCACAGACUUAGGUUUGAUGCCAAGGAAGGUAUCUAACGUUGCCAUUGUUGGUGGUGGACUUAUGGGUUCUGGAAUCGCAACCGCGCUGAUACUGAGCCAUUAUCCUGUUAUACUGAAAGAAGUCAACGAGGAAUUCCUAAACGCAGGAAUUGACAGGAUCAAAGAAAACUUGCAGAGUCGUGUAAGGAAAGGAAAAAUGACAAAGGAGAAAUAUGACAAGACCCUCUCACUUCUUACAGGUGUCCUCGAUUAUGAAAAAUUCAAGAGUGUUGACUUAGCAAUCGAGACAGUCGUAGAGAAUGUGAAGUUGAAGCAGCAGAUUUUUGCUGAACUGGAGCAACACUGUCCUUCCCAUUGUAUUCUUGCCACCAACACUUCCACCAUUGAUCUUGACCUGAUCGGAGAGAAGACAAAUUCCCAAGACCGCAUUGUUGGCACACACUUCUUCGCUCCAGCUCAUAUCAUGCCUCUUCUUGAGAUAGUCCACACCCCUCGCGCCUCUUUGCAAGCAGUUGUCACCUUGCUGGAUGUGGGGAAGAAGAUCAAGAAGACACCAAUAGUGGUCAGAAACUGUACCGGCUUCGCGGUCAACCGGAUGUUCUUUCCGUACACUCAGGCAGCACUAUGGCUUGUCGAUCAUGGAAUGGAUGUUUACAAGAUCGAUCAGGCUUGUACUGAAUUCGGGAUGCCAAUUGGUCCAUUCAGAAUGACAGAUCUGGUUGGUUUUGGAGUUGCUCUAGCCACAGGCAUGCAGCACCUUGAAAACUUCCCUGAGCGGGUCUACAAGUCAAUGCUGAUUUCUCUCAUGACUGAGGACAAAAGAACAGGUGAAGCCUCUCAAAAGGGGUUUUACAGGUAUGAUAGUAAGAGGAAGGCGAGCCCUGAUCCUGAAAUCAUGAACUAUCUCGAGGAGUCGAGGAGAAUUGCAGGAGCCACACCUGAUCCCGAGUUGCUCAAGCUUGACAACAGCGCGAUAGCAGAGAUGGUGUUGUUCCCGGUUAUCAACGAAGCCUGCCGUGUCCUGGGGGAGGGCAUUGCCUUCAAGGCCUCUGACCUCGACAUCGCCUCCAUCUUCGGAAUGGGUUUCCCGCCAUACAGGGGUGGCAUCAUGCACUGGGCGGAUUCCAUCGGCGCAAGGCGCAUUUGCGCGAUGCUGUCGGAGUGGGAGAUGAAGUAUGGCCAGUUCUUCAAACCUUGCAGCCACCUGUUGGAGAGGGCGGCUGAAGGUCUUCCUCUGAGCGCAUUGGCGACGAAGACGAUGAACAACCAGGCCAAGGACAAGCUACUGGGAAGCUGCUGA
rnacentral:rRNA from 1 species